rnacentral:rRNA from 1 species
UACGAACGCUGGCGGCGUGCCUAACACAUGCAAGUCGAACGGAGUGAUGAUUUCGGUUAUCACUUAGUGGCGAACGGGUGAGUAACGCGUGAGAAACCUGCCUUUCAGUGGGGGACAACAGUUGGAAACGACUGCUAAUACCGCAUAAUGUCAUAAUGUGGCAUCAUAUUGUGAUCAAAGGAGCAAUCCGCUGAAAGAUGGGCUCGCGUCCGAUUAGAUAGUUGGUGAGGUAACGGCUCACCAAGUCGACGAUCGGUAGCCGGACUGAGAGGUUGAACGGCCACAUUGGGACUGAGACACGGCCCAG